CCUCCUUCCUGUCUUCCACCAUGGACACAGACAGCAGCAACAGCAACGACAAUAACAUCAGAAACAUCAACAGGCGAACUCAAACCUUAAAUUCUACAAAUCCCAUUUCGCUACGCCCUUUGACAAUCCUGAUCAUCUUGUUUAUCACCUUCAUUCCCCAUACCGCCCUCAAAACGCCACCCCCUUUGCCCAUUUUACCCCUCCCUUCAGCUCCUCAGCUCCAAUGGCAACUCUCUUCGAUGGCACUCUUUUUCCACUUUGGACCCAACACCUUCACCGACUCGGAGUGGGGCACAGGGCAUGCCAGCCCGUUUGUAUUCAACCCUACCCGACUAAAUGCUUCCCAGUGGGUGCAUGUAGCCGAGGAAGCUGGGUUUUCCAGGGUGAUCCUUACAGCAAAGCACCAUGAUGGCUUCUGCUUGUGGCCAAGUGAAUACACGGAUUAUUCUGUGAAGGCGAGUCCUUGGAGAAAUGGGAAGGGCGAUGUUGUUGCUGAGCUGGCUAUGGCUGCUAAGGAAGCUGGGAUAGCUUUGGGGCUUUAUUUAUCUCCAUGGGAUAGGCAUGAGAAUUGCUUUGGGAAGACUGUGGAGUACAAUGAAUUCUAUAUGGGGCAGAUGGUUGAGUUGUUGUCUAGGUAAUUGAUUGUUUUGUUUGGUUUUUUAAGUUUUCUCUUGAUUUUGUUUCUAAUGUUUGGCAUGUUUUUCUCAUUUUGUGCUUGUUGAUAUUGUUCAUUUUUUAAAUUUAGCACUUAGGUAAUCUUUAUUCUCUAAAUUGGCCUUGUCUUUCUUUCUUUAGUGUUUAAUCCUCUCUGCAUUUAAGGAAAUUGUGCUCUGAUUUUGUUCAUUGAUUUAUGUUCAUAUGAACUAGUCGUGUGCUUAUGGGACUGAUAAGUUUUAUAACUAUUGCAUUACAUUCUACUUCUACAUAGCUGAUUGUAAGAUUAAAUUUCAACUAAAUUGAAGCUUGGUUUUUCUUUCAAAUUUCAAGGUUUCUUUUUGGUUAAUUUCUGCCAAUUCAAGUAAUUAUGGUAUUGAGAGACUUCUAUAGUCAGAGUUAUUUUGUUCCAUUUUAGGGUUUUCUGAGUUGAGAAUUGAGGAGUGAAAUUUCUCUUUUCAAAUUUAAGCAGGUAUGGAGAUAUCAAGGAAGUAUGGUUGGAUGGCACAAAAGGGGAGGGGGAAAAAGAUAUGGAGUAUUAUUUUGAUGCUUGGCUUAGUCUUAUUCGUCAGCUCCAACCAGGGGCUGUUAUCUUCUCUGAUGCUGGUCCUGACACCAGGUGGAUUGGCAAUGAGGAUGGCGUUACUGGUUCUAGUUGUUGGUCUCUUUUCAAUCGAAGCGAUGCAGAAAUUGGUGGAACUGAUCCUCAGUAAGCAUAUUUUCCUGUCUUACCUGUUAGAAGUGAUAAUUUAGAUUUAUGCCCAGUUGAAGAUGAUUUGUAUGCUUAAAACCAUCUGCUACCCAGUGCUUAUGCCAUCCUAAUUCCCUCGGAUGCUAUGAAGUCAUGCUCCUGCUUGGUGCUUGCUUCAAAUCAUUAACAAGCAAGUUUCCCUUUUUUGUUCUUUUCAUUCUUCAUGGAGUCAAACUAUCAGUGUCAUGAAAUUAUGUUUGAUUAACAGAUACUGUCAACGAGGAGACCCUCAUGGUCAUGACUGGGUACCUGCUGAGUGUGAUGUCUCAAUCAGGCCUGGUUGGUUUUGGCAUGCAUCUGAAGUUACAAAGUCAGCAUUGAAGCUUCUUGACAUAUACUACAGGUCAGCUGGUCGAAAUUGUCUUUUGCUGCUAAAUCUGCCUCCAAAUUCAUCAGGUCUUAUUUCGGAUGAAGAUAUUCAAGUGCUCCAAGAAUUCAAGGAGCUUCGGAGGUCCAUAUUCUCAGAUAAUUUGGCCAAGAAUGCUAUCCUAAAUGCCAGCAGUGUACGCGGAGGCAAUGAUAAUUCUCAAUUCAGCCCCUAUAAUGUACUUGAAGAAGGUAUUUACACCUAUUGGGCUCCUGAAGAGGAUCAAUCUGAUUGGGUCUUAUAUUUAAACCUUCAAGAAUCAGUAUCUUUCAAUGUCUUGCAAGUUCAAGAGCCAAUUCACAUGGGACAACGUAUCAUCGAGUUCAAUUUUGAGAUCCUGAAUGGAGGUGGAUGGAAGAAAGUGAUUAGUGGCACCACAGUGGGAUAUAAGAGGUUGCUGCAAUUUCCAAUAGUUCAGUCUCAGUGCUUGAAGUUUGUUAUCAGCAAGUCUCGAGCAGAGCCUCUUAUUUCUUUUCUGGGGAUCUAUAUGGACCGAUUCUCCAUUCUCAGCCACGCAUCUGAUACAACCUCAUAGGCACAUGUCAAUGGCAGUCAAGUCCUUCAGCAAGUUGCAUACAAUCAUACCCAACCUGUCACCAUACAGUCUAUGUAAUUUUAAGCUACCACUUUUGUGCAGAGCAGUGUUCAAAACUAUAAGCAUUUUAUUGUUUCAUACAAUCAUCCCUCCCAAUGGUUAAUAUGGCUAUGUUGUGCUAGUUAGUGUCAUGAAAAAGAGGCAAUGUUCCAAUUAUGUUCUAUUUUGUUACAGUUUAUUGAGGAUGUUACUAACUAUCUAACAGAAAAAAAAAUGUAACUGUGGAUGCCUUCCUCUUCACCUCCAAGUCUGUCAAUGAAGGUCACCUCAGAUUAGUAACCAAGUCUCAGUUCAGGUUUACGGGCACCGGUAGCCAACCGAAAUGAGAUAGGAAUUGUGUAGCCAAAGUUGAGGGUAACAUAGGAAAUGGGAGAGUAUAGAAGUACUUCAUUUACUCGGCUUUUCUUUUUCUAAUUAAAAAUAUUUUUAUGUCAAAUUACAAGAAACCCCCAAAGAUAUAUUGAGAGAGAGGGGAGAGUCAAACUGUCAAAGUAGGAAGUUAAAAAGGAUGUAGGGAGUGCUUGAAAUACUCAGGGUGAGAAAGCAGAAACCCAGAAGGAAAGGGAGAGAAAGGAUGGAUAUUGAUAAACCAACAACAGUGAUAUGCAAAGUGCUAGCAAUGGAUCAAUCCAGCUUUUGUUACAAAGCCUGCUCUAAUUGUGAAACGCCAAUGCCUGACAGCCCUUCCCAUACGUUUUGCAACACCUGCAAAGGUCACCGCUACCCCUUCAAACGUCUCUUUCGCCUUCUUGUAUGUUCCCCCGUAACCCCCCUCAUCUCUUUCUUUUUUCUUGGCUUUUCAUUAACUGGGUCAUCUCAACUGUAGGCCCUUUUUUUUCUUUCUUUCGUUUUAGUUGGAUUUUAAAGGUUCUAUCUUUUGUUGAUUACUGCUAAGUGUUUCUUUUGCUCUGUUUUUGUUUUUUGUUUUUGGGUGUUUUGGCAGUUCUCAAUAGCAACAGACACAAAGGUUUUAAACGUGGUGUGCUUUGAUAGGGCUGCUAAGGUUAUCUUUGGUUGUUCUGCUCAGCAAUUCUUUGACUUUGCGACCCUUCACCCUUAUGCUGGUAUCUGUCUUGCUUUUAGCAAUGUUUAUGUGAAUUUGCAAUGUAGACCAUAAGCCCAUGAUUGCUUACAACUGAUAGUUUUAUGGUUUCAUUCAUUCUCCCCAUAUUUUCUUGGUAAUCAAUUUUAUGUGCAAAGGAACUAUUUUGAUUGGAAGAUGGCUAGGUGAUUCUUCAAGUGAGCAAGCUUAAACCUUUAAGACUUCCUAGUUUAUGAGUGAUUUUGUUCUGGCUCGUAAAGAACCAAGUUUAUGGUAAAGGAGUACGUUUCAGAAUUGUUCUUUUUGUAUGACUGUUUACUGUUACAAGCCCUCUUUUGGCUUGUUGGCUUGGUGUGCUUGGGGUCAGAGCACUCAAGCCACAUGCCCCAGGCUUGAGGGCUGGUAAGAGAGUAAUGACUCCAUUGACAGUUACUUUCAGAGCUCAUUUCAUCUUUGGUAUUUCUGAUUCAAAACCACAUUUCUCGUCAUGGGAAGUGGGAAAUUGCUUGCCAAUUUAUGUUCUAAGGUUUUGGCUUGUUUGAUGUUUAAACAGCUAAAAAUAUAUUUGGAUUUGAGCUAAAGAAGCAAGUCCUAGUAGUAGGCAUGCAGACACUUUUUUUUGGUAAGUAAUUUUCAAAAAUAAAAAAUAAUUUUAUAAAAAACCAAUAAUAUUUUUAAUAUAAAAAAUAAAAAAAAAGAAAAACAAAUAUAUAAUUAAGCAAAUAAAAGUAUUAUAAAGUCGGAAAAAAAAAUUCAUUUUAAGACAUCCCGAAACGGAAAGAUGAAUAAAAGAAAAAAAAUCGAGAUUUUGAUAAUAAUUAUUAGUUAUCAAUAAAUUCAUAAAAAAUUUCACUUUAUUUUUUUUCAGAAAAGAAAAUAAAAUUUUCACUUAAUUAAAAAUAAAAAAAGAACAUCAACAAGAUAAAAAGUAAGUUAAUAACUCUCGAAAAAAAAGUAAGUUAAUAAUGGCAUAUACUACUAUUUAUGGUAUAUUCCUUCUUAACCAACCAAUCAAAAAAGAAAAUUAAAGGAACAUUCUGUUUCCUCAAAUAAAGAUAGUACUUGUAAUUUCGAUUGGUAGUUUGGUACCAUUUGAUCUUAAAAUUCUAUUAUCCCACGAAAAAAAAAUGAUAAAAUUAUAUUUAAUAUAAUAAAUUUCUAUUAAGUAAUUUUGACUUUGGGUUGUGCCCUCUUUUCCUUGGCCAGCCGACAAUCAACAUCAUGGUGGGCUUUGGUUAGUAUGGUUAACUACGUUUGGAUAGAUAUAAGCCCAAUCCUUAGCCCAAAGCUUAUGGCCAGGCCUUUAGCCCAUCACAAUGCGGAAUGUCUGUGACCAUAUUUAGAGAUGGCAAUGAAAUGUAUGUAAAUAAGUAUUUAACAAAAUUUAAUUCGUUAAAAUAAGAUAAAGGGUAUUUUAUAAACGAGUUCGGAUAGAGUUCUGGGUAAUUGAUAUUUGAAGGUUGUUUUUCGUAAGUGUAAUUAUAUGAAUGGGUUUGGAUAGAAUAUGGGUAUCCGUUAUGGAGAAUUCAUUAUUCGAAUUUGAUUAUAAAUAAUAAAAUUUUAAUAUAUAUUUUUUAAAAUUUUUAUAUUAUAUUUUAAUAGAUGUAUUAUUUAUAAUUAAAAAAUUAUUUGAAUAUAAAAUAAAUAAAAAAUAAAAAAUUAUUUUUUAAUUAUUAAAUUUAAAUUUUAUAAAUUGAAUUUAGAUAUGAUUAUCUCAUAAUUAACUAGUAACUUAUUUAUUACUAUUCCUAUCUUAUUUGGUUGCUCUUUUCCUUUCUUCCAAGUUCAUCCUUUGCCAAUUCGUAAAGCGUCUUACAUUUUGAUGAUAAGCUCGAAUCGACUUCUUGUUUUGGUGAACAUAUGCGUUAUAAUGAAAGCCAUUCCUCCUUUCUCCAUGACAAUGGCCCAAGCUGGCAGUAGCAGCCGCCCGUGGGUAGCUAUCUCGAAAGCAAAGGAAAUGCGAUGUUUAAGCUCGAAGGCAAUCUUAGCUUAAAAGCAUGGCGACGCUCCCAACAUCCAAUUGCAUCAAAAUUCUAAAUCCUCGUUGCCAAGCCUUUGAUUAGAACUUGGAAAAUGUUGCAGCAAACUCCAUUUUUACAGUUCUAGCCUCGCUGGAAAGAUUUAUCGUUAAAACUAUUCGAAUAUGGAAGGUAUUAAUACGUACAUUUGAUCUAAUAAAUUUUGACUUGACCGGUUCAUUUUAUCCAAGAAAUACAGUCAUAGUCUCAUACCAUACCAUGCCAAGCAUUUCCCUGCACGUGGCCCCGUGUAAUUGUCAGCAACAACCCCUGGUUUCUUUCUUUGGUCAAAUCUCGAAAGGAAGGCUCGGCAAUCUUGAAAGGAGGAUGAAGCACAGCAUUGAAUCCUGGGAACUGAAGAGUAUCAAUGCGAAGAACAGAAAGUCGUUCUCGCAGAUUUAACACUUUCGGUUUUGAAACUGAAACAUCCACUUUUCAGCCUUCAUCUUACUCCUCUCCUUCCUGCCUUUCACCAUGAACACAGACAGCAGCAACAGCAAGGACAAUAACAUCAGAAACAUCAACAGGCGAACUCAAGCCUUAAAUUCUACAAAUCCCAUUUCGCUACGCGCUUUGACAAUCCUGAUCAUCUUGUUUCUCACCUUCAUUCCCCAUACCGCCCUCAAAACGCCACCCCCUUUGCCCAUUUUACCCCUCCCUUCUGCUCCUCAGCUCCAAUGGCAACUCUCUUCGAUGGCACUCUUUCUCCACUUUGGACCCAACACCUUCACUGACUCGGAGUGGGGCACAGGGCAUGCCAGCCCGUCUGUAUUCAACCCUACCCGACUAAAUGCUUCCCAGUGGGUGCAUGUAGCCGAGGAAGCUGGGUUUUCCAGGGUGAUCCUUACAGCAAAGCACCAUGAUGGCUUC
rnacentral:lncRNA from 1 species